GCCUGUGUAGUCUAACGGAUAAGACGUCAGACUCCUAAUCUGAAGGUUCCGGGUUCGAAUCCCGGCAUGGGUA